rnacentral:sRNA from 1 species
GUCCACGAUGUAGCGGACCAGGCGUAAAAUCCUCCCAGGACAAGCGCUGCGGUCGGCCAAUACUUCGUGGUCAUGAUGACCAGGCCGACCGC